rnacentral:tRNA from 1 species
GUUUUUAUAGUAUAAUUAAAUUAUGUAGUUUUUUCAGGACUAAGAUGACCUUAAUCUAAAAAUA